rnacentral:lncRNA from 1 species
CUCAAAAAUUUUUCAAGUAUUUUUCUUCCCUCUCCACCAGACACUAUUUGCCAUAUAUGGGGACGAUGUGCCAAGAAGCUCACCUCGGAGUUGCCAUUGUGGCACAAUGGUUAACGAAUCCGACUAGGAGACAUAAGGUUGCGGGUUCGGUCCCUGCCCUUGCACAGUGGGUAAACGAUCUGGCAUUGCCAUGAACUCUUGUGUAGCUUGCAGACGUGGCUCAGAUCCCGCGGUGCUGUGGCUCUGGUGUAGGCUGGUGGAUGCAGCUCCGAUUCGACCCCUAGACUGGAAAACCUACAUAUGCUGUGGUACCGGCAAAAGAAAUGGCAAAAAAUAAAUAAAUAAAUAAAAAGCCUACCCGAAUCGAGGGAAGAGAGAACGAUGCCCGGGAGCGCCUUAACUUCACGCCGGGCGCAAGGGCGGAAGGGGGCCGAUUGGUUGACAGCCGGCUGCCUUGCCUUAAGAAGCAGGGCGUCUGAUGUCAAGCCGCCUCUCCCUCUGCGACUGCCUGCCUGCCUGCCUGCCUGCCUGCCUGCCUGCCUGCCUGUGCCAAGAAGCCUACCCGAAUCGAGGGAAGAGAGAACGAUGCCCGGGAGCGCCUUAACUUCACGCCGGGCGCAAGGGCGGAAGGGGGCCGAUUGGUUGACAGCCGGCUGCCUUGCCUUAAGAAGCAGGGCGUCUGAUGUCAGUGAGUGGGGCGGUUUCGUUGGGGGCGAGAGGCCUGGCCGACCUUGCGAGGGUC